rnacentral:pre_miRNA from 1 species
GAAGUACUCCCUCCGUCCGGAAAUACUUGUCCUAAAAAUGGAUAAAAUAGAUGUAUCUAUAACUAAAAUAAGUCUAGAUACAACCAUUUCUAAAACAAGUAUUUCCGGACGAAGGGAGUAGAAA